rnacentral:rRNA from 1 species
CCUACGGGUGGCAGCAGUAGGGAAUAUUGCUCAAUGGGCGAAAGCCUGAAGCAGCAACGCCGCGUGGGGGAUGACGGUUUUCGGAUUGUAAACUCCUUUUGUUAGAGAAGAUAAUGACGGUAUCUAACGAAUAAGCACCGACUAACUCCGUGCCAGCAGACGCGGUACUACGGAGGGUGCAAGCGUUACUCGGAAUCACUGGGCGUAAAGGGCGCGUAGGCGGGAUAGCAAGUCAGAUGUGAAAGCCUAGGGCUUAACCAGAGAACUGCAUUUGAAACUGUUAUUCUAGAGUAUGGGAGAGGUAGGUGGAAUUCGUGGUGUAGCGGUGAAAUCCGUAGAGAUCAAGAGGAAUACUCAUUGCGAAGGCGACCUGCUAGAACAUAACUGACGCUGAUGCGCGAAAGCGUGGGGAGCAAACAGGAUUAGAUACCCGAGUAGUC